UACGGAGGGGGCUAGCGUUGUUCGGAAUUACUGGGCGUAAAGCGCACGUAGGCGGCUUUGUAAGUUAGAGGUGAAAGCCCGGGGCUCAACCCCGGAAUUGCCUUUAAGACUGCAUCGCUUGAAUUGUGGAGAGGUAAGUGGAAUUCCGAGUGUAGAGGUGAAAUUCGUAGAUAUUCGGAAGAACACCAGUGGCGAAGGCGACUUACUGGUCCGGUUCUGACGCUGAGGCGCGAAAGCGUGGGGAGCAAACAGG
rnacentral:rRNA from 1 species